rnacentral:lncRNA from 1 species
AGCGCCUCGCGGGGGCGGGAAGGAGAGAGAGAGCGGGGGCUGCUGUGCGGAGUGCCGCCUCGGGAGCGGGCAGCGCGAGGGAAACUCCUCGCCCCCUUCGUGAGCCGAAGGGACCGCUUUGCGCUAGCGAGAAGCGGGUGUUCCUGGCUCGUAACCAUCCCCUCGUCGUGGUGAGAGCGCUACCGCCGGUUGAUACUGAAUCAACUCCACGAGGUGUGUGGGCAGCUGCCUUGCUUUGUAAACAUAGUUGCAACCUCGCUAAGAACGCCGUGAGGCUUCGGCAGCUGCGUGUGUGAGGGCUGCGCAGCGCUGGAGCCCGGUAAACGUGUCUGCCUCACAGUGUUUACUCUCUGCAAAAUCCCAGCAGAACGAGUUAUCAGAAAAUGGAUGAAAGAAUGCCCUCUAGAGGCAGAAUUCAGCUGAAUAAAAUUCCCAGAUACAGAGAAGAAGAAUUGGAGAACAUAAACAUUACAGCCAUAUGGAGAAGAGUUGGCAUUGCUCAAGCCUCGUGUAAAUACAAACAAGGAAAUGCUGCCUUCUACGAUGCCUGUUAUAGCAAUGAAACUGUAUGAAUUUCAUCCAUGAUUUCUGACAUUUGAUCUUCGUAUAGGAGCAGAGGAUGCCAAGAGAAGAGGAGCCUCGUGUGAGACCUCAGCGGGUAGCUUCUAUCCUCCCUCAUUCUGCUUCAACAGGAGCAAGCAGGAUGAGUGCUUCUCACUACCAAGAUGUUGGAGCACUGCACACGUGCUGGGACUUUUACCAAGGUGGACAAAGAGAAUGGACUCCUAAGAGAGCUCAGGACCAAGAAGAUGAGAUGAAUUCAUGGACUUUUGGAUAAUACACAGCUGAGACAGUCUACCAUGGAAGCAACUCCUACCACUUUGGAUAACACACACUGAGGAAGAUAUAGUCAUUUUUGGUGUCCCAGAGAAACAGCUGCAGUCCUCAGAGGGUUGUUAUGAGGAUGGUUUCAACACUGCUGCCUCUUUUUGGUAAGACGUUUUAUUUCUUGCUGUGAAAUUGUUUAUGUUCAGGGCAAAAGUUGGUCUGUUCUCAUGUGAUAAUCCCACAAAGACUUGGCAUAGAAGGAAGCAACAAUGGAAUGAGUUAUAAUUGUUUGUGUUGCUUUCUGAAGGAUAUAAAUAAGCAUAUAUUGCUAUUGUGUGUUUCAAGAAUAGUGUUGUAAAGCAGUCUUCGCUACAGCUAUUAUUUUGAAUCUCUUCUAGAAAAUGCCAACUGUAUACAUUGCCUUUUAAUCCUGUGCUUCUUCAGUAGUGGACCUCAAAUUGAUCUGAUGACUAGAAAGUGGAUUUAAUGUCUGAUUUGAAGCAGCUGUUUGUUUGACUCUGAACGGAGCAGUAAUGAUUAAGGGUUGUUAUCAGUUGACUGUCAAAUGGUUUAAGUGACUUGAGAUUUUUGGAUUACCGGUAGAUUUUUGUGUGGACUCCUUGGCACGUAAUGGUUGACAUCCUUACUGGCCUUCUCUGGCCAGUUUGACAUGCCAUGCACCUCUUAGCUCACAUGUGAGGUAUAUUGGCAAAGUGUGCGUGUGGGUAUCUGUGUUUUAACAUGGCUUGUAUUUUUUCUGUUGUUUCCAUGCAUGAUGUCUUUUAGCAACAUCAAAGUAUCCUUUGCAAAGAUUCUAUUCUUAUGUUUACAAACUAAUGAAGAAGCUCUACUUCUAGAGUUGUUCUAGAAGUGUUAUUAACCGAAAUGUGUAAAUAAGGAAGCAAUCUGAAGAACAAGAAGCUCAGUUGAUGGUAGUUUAAUUGAAAGCACUGCUUAAACAAAAGGAAGGGGGCACAGCUAACAAAAUGGAAAAGGGAAAAUCGGUAGAAAAGUAACAGUAGUUGUAAGCUGCUGUGAAACAACACAGACUAAAGAAAAUUGUGUUUAUGUUUUGGGUUUUGUUUUUGUUGCUAGUUUAUUGUUUUUAUAAUGAAUCACACAGAAAUGUAAGAGAAACCAGCAGCAAAGACCUGCAGUGAGAUACUGUGUAGAUUUGUAACGCAGUGCAAAUGCACACAAGUGUUAAAAUACAUUGUCCUAUUUUGAUUAGAGACUCAUGGCUACAACCUGGCUUAUCUCCUUACAUCUCAUACCAAGCAUGUAAGUCUGCAGAGCAUAAAACUGGCUGUACAUUUUGCUUGAGCACACUUGCAAUCCAUCUUGUAAAAAAAAAAAAAAAAAAAAAAAAAAAAAAAAAAAAAAAAACCCACAAAAAAACACACCAACCCUCGCAGCCAUGGGAAUAGUCACAGCCUUGUUAAUUUUCAGAAGUCCCCAGUGGGACAUCAUUUUCUUUUAUCUUUUCACAGAUAGCCCGUAGAAUCUUAUGCAUCUUGUGCUGGUUUGGUAUUGAGUGGGCUAUAGUUAUGUAUUAUUUAACACUUUGGCCAAGCCUUGGUUUCAUGAACAAUUCAUCUUCUGCUGUGUGCAUCUGCUCUAGUGAGUAAUGAAGGCGACCAGCCUACGAUUGUGAAGUGCCCCGGGUUCUCUCUCUUACCUAAUUCUGCUUAACGGCAUUUUGAGCUAAUUUUUCUCCUGCCUUUCCUUUGAGAUAAUUCUUUUCUCAGAUGCUGAAUAAUGUCUUCAUCUUACGUAUUGCCAUGACAGUGUCCAUAGGGAAGCUACAAAGCUCGCUAAUGCUGUCACACCCUGUAUUUACUGUUAGAAAUCCUGGUAAUGCAAAGUGCCUGGGGUCAAAGGGGCUACAGAUUUUAGUUUAUAUUUACAGGGAUCCUACUAGCUCUUCUGAUUUAUUGGUUUUUGUGAUCAGUUGGAUAAAUGAAGAUAUUCUGGAACCAUACAUGAAAUACUAAUCUUUUCAGCUUCGUCAUGAACCUUUGCUAAGUGCUAGGACAUUAUAUAAUAGUCUGUUGUUCAGCUAUUCCUCAGUUUUCAGAGGAAAAAAUAAUGUUUCAAAAUUAACUUCCUUAGGCUCUGUUUUUAUGGAAUAUGAGCAGUAUAUUUGCCUAACCUCCGCAGCUCAGAAUUUUCAGAGGGUUAGUCAAGGUAAAAUUGACAAUGUCUAUAUAAAAUGAUGACUAUGCUGAGUAUUUCUUAACUUGCCAGGAAUGGUGAUGACGUGGGGCUUUUUAAAAGCGUGUGUGUGUUUGUUUUUGUUGUUGUGCUUGAGCAAAGGCUCAAGCUUUUGUUGAGGUUUUUUGCCUACCUUUUUUGAUAGACUUCCUGCAUUGCCUGUCCAAAUAUAUUUGCUGCUGUGUGAGAGAUUUCUGUUAUAUUAUUCUAUAAGUUUCUCUCCUUCCAGAAUGAAAUAUCAAGCUGAGGCUAAACUGUAAAAAUAAUGUGUAAACCCAAUUAGGUUAGAUUUCAACUGGGGCUUAUUGGUUAAACUGUAGGAGAGACAUGUUCAGUUUGUACUCUCUGGACAGAGUGUGUACAUCUCACUUAAAAUGGAUGAAAGUAUAUUGAUUUGUGCACAUUGAGAACAGGGCCCUUGCUUUAGCUCAGCAGCUUCAUGGGUCUUGAGUUGGACAGACUUCUCUGUAUGAAUUAACUGCAGUAAGAAGAGGGGGGGAAAGGGAGUUCAUCCUAAUGUUAGUAUUUGUCAGUGUCUCUUUGCAGAGUACUAAAAUGACAAGGAUUGGUUCAGUGACCAUCUUGUAUGGUAUGUUGACACUGAAAAGCAUAACACUGCCACUGCAUACUUCUGCUUUCCGUUCCUUGUUUCUGUAUCAGCACAGCACGCAUGUACUCAUGCACACGACAUACAAUUUGUGCCAUUAAUGAAACCGCAGGAAAAUGACUCAGGUGUGGCUUAGAAGGAGGUGAAAAUGCAUGCAUCCAUACAAGUGUGUGUUAGGAAGAUGGGAUUUGCAAUAUUUUUGUUUUAUAAGUAAACUUUUACUCUUUUUUUUUUUUUUUUUUACUGAACAGUUAAGAAAAUAAAAAAAUGAAUCGCCUAACACCAUGUGAGGUGAUGUUCAGAGCAGCAUAGGCUGUUCUAAUGGCUGAUUUUAAUAAUAAAAGACAACAGGGGACUAAAAGGUGUGGUGUGGUAAGCUGAGAAACACAUUCCUUUCCCCAGAGGGUGUACUUAGCUUUGUGCCUUUGAUCACUUGAGAAGUACCAUCAGAGUGCAAAAUGGCAGGCACUAGGGAACAUUACGGCAAUUAUAAGGUGAUCGUUUUUAAAAAAUCAAAAGAAGUUUGAACUUAUUUGGGAGCUUUUUCCCAUUCAAGUCUGCUUGCAUCUGAACGGUAAGAUGCUGUAUUAGAUAAAAUAUGCACACUUCAGUGGGACUGUUCUUCAGAUAUUGACUCCGAAGUUAGCUCUGGUGCUGAACAAUCUGUACAGAACAGGC